rnacentral:rRNA from 1 species
AGCGAACGCUGGCGGCAGGCUUAACACAUGCAAGUCGAGCGGGAACUUUCGGUUGUCAGCGGCCGACGGGUGAGUAACGCGUUGGUACGUGCCCUCUUGUUCGGACUUACUCAGUGAAACUUCAACUAAUACCGUAUACGCCCUUUUGGUGUAAGGCUUGCUGCCGGAGGAUCGGCCCGCGUCUGAUUAGCUAGUGGGUGAGGUAACGGCGCACCAAGGCUGAGAUCAGUAGCUGGUCUGAGAGGAUGAUCUACCACACUGGGGCUGAGACACGGCCCAGAAUCCUACGCGAGGGAGGAGUGGGUGAUACUGGAAAAUGGGGGCAAGCAUGAUCAAGCCAUGCCGGGUGAGUGAUGAAGGACGUAGGGUAGUAAAGCCUUUUUAUACGGGACGAUAAUGACGGUACCGGAGGAAUAAGCCCCGGCUAACUACGUG